AUUGAACGCUGGCGGCAGGCCUAACACAUGCAAGUCGAGCGGAUGAAGGGAGCUUGCUCCUGGAUUCAGCGGCGGACGGGUGAGUAAUGCCUAGGAAUCUGCCUGGUAGUGGGGGAUAACGUCCGGAAACGGGCGCUAAUACCGCAUACGUCCUGAGGGAGAAAGUGGGGGAUCUUCGGACCUCACGCUAUCAGAUGAGCCUAGGUCGGAUUAGCUAGUUGGUGGGGUAAAGGCCUACCAAGGCGACGAUCCGUAACUGGUCUGAGAGGAUGAUCAGUCACACUGGAACGGAGACACGGUCCAGACUCCUAGGGGAGGCAGCAGUGGGGAAUAUUGGACAAAGGGCGAAAGCCUGAUCCAGCCAUGCCGCGUGUGUGAAGAAGGUCUUCGGAUUGUAAAGCACUUUAAGUUGGGAGGAAGGGCAGUAAGUUAAUACCUUGCUGUUUUGACGUUACCAACAGAAUAAGCACCGGCUAACUUCGUG
rnacentral:rRNA from 1 species